UACAGAGGUCCCAAGCGUUGUUCGGAUUCAUUGGGCGUAAAGGGUGUGUAGGUGGCGCCGUAAGUCGGGUGUGAAAUUUCGGAGCUUAACUCCGAAACUGCAUUCGAUACUGGCGUGCUUGAGGACUGGAGAGGAGACUGGAAUUCAUGGUGUGGCAGUGAAAUGCGUAGAGAUCAUGAGGAAGACCAGUGGCGAAGGCGGGUCUCUGGACAGUUCCUGACACUGAGACACGAAGGCCAGGGGAGCAAACGGG
rnacentral:rRNA from 1 species